CAUAUGAUCACAUUGGAACACAGUGUUCUUUUAAAGCUUGCGAUGUUGGAAAAUUCUUAAGCACUUCUCCAAAUGAUUUGCACUAACUGAUUUGAGCAUACUUAAAAAGCAGAUAACACCAGUUUAUAGAAAUCUAAUCUGUCAGACGUUAACCUGAUGUUGUGUGAUUUUUAACUUGGUCCACCCCAGUUCAAUAUCAACUCCUCCACAUCAACAUUUGAAAUCAUUCAUAAGAUGAUUUGUCCUCUUUGUUAAUCAGAGAAUUGAAGGAUGGAUUUAUACUGGAAGCUGUGUCGAUAUAAAGUCGCACCACUGACACAAAUUCAGUACUCAAUUAGUUUGAGGGACAGCUGUUCUUAGAUGGACAAGAGCACUCAAAGCAGAAAUAUCAAGUCAGCUCAAAGUCAACCUUACACUUUUUAAAAGCCUGUGGCAUUACACGAAGAGAUUCUGUUAGAGGGGAAAGUGAAUACAGUUUUCAGUGGAAACCGAAACAGAAAUUGCUGGAAAAACUCAGGACGUCUGUCAGCAUCGAUGGAGAGAAAUGCGAGAUAAUGUUUUGCGGUCGGUGACCCAUCUUCCGAACAUGUGGGUCUUGGUCUUCCAAAGCAGUUGUGAAGGACAUCUGAAACCGAGUGCACAUUGGAGAGUUUGGUGCGUGAGGGAUUUCAGACAAUCCUUUCUUUUAUUAAUUGGUCACUCUGUAGCUGAACAGGAGCUGAAAGUUGAUUCUCAGAAAUCCAUCAAGAGUCAGCUCUGUGAACACUUCCAAACCCCAAAAGCAUGAAGUUAAGAAAAAAUAACAUGGAAUCUCAGAGAAAUGGGUUAGUGAUUGAAGGGCGAUUGUUUGUUCACUUGCUUUUUCUUUUAAAAUCCAGGAAAUAUUUUCAUACUUUUCCCUUAUGUUUUCUUAAGUUUCAGAAUAUUAAUACUUUUGAGUGAGAGUACUUAGUUUAUUCGUUAUCAAUUACAUUAAAAAAAGAAGUUUCAUGAAAUGACAAUGGCAGAACAGGUGAUGUGUGGUGACUGUCGGGUGUGCGAUUUAUGCGAUCUAUUGUAGAAAGAAUAAGUUAAUCUUGAAGAUAUUCUCCUUAGAGUUCAUAAAUUACUGACCAAGAUGAAGACAAAGCGGUGCACCAGUGCGGUUUCAAUGUACACUUAAUUCUUUUUUUGAGGUGGCAGCCACAGUCUUAAGGCUAUGGUCUUCCAAUUUGAUCAAUAUUGAUGUAAAGUAGGGUGCAGCUGGCAAAGCUCUGGGGACCGAAGAGGUGGAGGAGGCACCGCCUUUCCUGUUAUUCAGCGAAUGUUUGGUUCUUCCACCUUCUUUGGAGGAGUUUGAUGGCUGAGGGAUAGAUGAGCUCACUGAUCACUGCACCAGAAUUGAGUAAGACAUUACCUU